GAAUGCCUCUUCUAUUUUCUUCUUUUUUUUUUUUCUUUUUGGACUAAUUUCACUCACUAGAACUUCUACUACAAUGUUGAAUAAAAGUUGGGAGACAGACAUCUUGUGUUUUUCUUGAUCUUCAGAGGAAAGCUUUCAGUCUUUUAUCAUUAAAUAUAUUAGCUAUGGUUUUUCAUAGAUAUUUUCUAUCACACUGAGGAAGUUCCCUUCUACUUCUAACAACUGACAUUUUUGGGUGGAAAAAAAUGUCAAUUAAGGUCUAAACUUUGGGUAGAAGACAGAUUUCUUAUGAUUUUCAAGUCCAGAAAGCCCAAGGAAACAUGCUAUGGUUUCUCUGCUGUUCCAGAGGACUUCGGUUGGAAGUGAGUUGGUUUUACGCCUAUUUCUAAACUAACAUGGAUGUUGAAGCUGUUUCACUUGCCUGGGUUCAGUUUUUCAUUCAAUCACUAAAAAAUCCAGUUCAUUUGAAGAGUGAGAAGGAUUGCCAAGGCAAUGACAGCAGAGGUGCGUCUGUUUCCUCAUGAAUCAGAUCAGUGGAAAUAGAGACACACAGUAAGCAUUCAAUAAGUAUUUGCAAAUGAAUGAAUUAACAAACUUCAGAUGACAUUAAGGAUUUUUACCAUGUUGGAUUAGAAACCCUUGAAAGCUUCCCCUAACUUUAAUACCCUCAGAUUAUUAAGGACAUUGAAAUCGGAGUUACUCCGAGCCUUUCCUGCCUGUGAGUUAGCUACAGGACUGGGAUACAGCUGGAGCUCCCUAAUUCCUCCUGCAGAACUCUCCAGCAUAUACCGUCCUAGCUGAGAAAGCCUGAGUCCAUGCACCUUCUAGGAACAGACGUUCUCAUUAGGUAGAUUUAAAAGGGUUGUGUGGCCCCAAAUAGCUGCUCCACUGCCAGAAACUCCACUAUUACAGAUUUAUUCCUUUCAAUCAGUGCCUUCUGAAAGACUGCAGGAGCAAAUCAGGCCAAGACGUGAGGGAAUCCAGGCAAGAAUCCUGUUGAAUGAUUAGGAGUCAAUUCAGGCUUCAGAGGCAGACAGAGCUGAGCUUGAAUCUCAGAUCUGUUACCUGCUUGUGUGACUUUCGGAACCAAAUUGGAGGAAGAAGAGAAUCCAGCAACACUGAAGAUGGAAGUUCCACAGGAGCCUUCUGCCCUCUGAGUUCUUUUAAACCAAGAAAUAUCAUAGCAAAGAAGGCCCACACCAACACACAACAGACUUUCAAGCUCUGGGAGAAACAGAAAGCUGCCGCCUUACUCAGUGCCGCGAUGGGGAGCCGUGCCCUGUGCCCGGACACAGGAGGCACCCAAUGAGCCUUCGUUGGACUGCAGCCAGAAGCAGCCUGUGGCAAAUGUGACAUUUUUUGAUAUCUUUGGUUUUGUCUUAAAACUCAGAAGAAUUUUCCCUUCUAUUACAUACUGCAUCUGUUAUUUUCAAUAUAAAAAUAAUUUUGUGUUCUAAUGAUGGAGUAAUUUAGCACAACAGGAGAUAGCCAUGGUUUUUCCAUUCCUUUGUGAAUUGCUAGAGAUGAAAACUCCCCAUCUUUAACUUAAAAGAUUAAUGAUGAUUUAGCUUCCCAAUGAAGUUAUAUUAUGGAUGAGGAUCUUUUUCCAAAAUGAUCACUGUGGGGAUCAGCAUAUCCUAGUUUGAGAUGAGUGAAGGAAAACUGUCAUUCACACUUUGCUGUAGGCUCCUGCAUGCCACCCACAUGAAGCAGGACACGGGGGCAUGCCACGGCUGAGAGGAAAGGUUCAGAAUGUCUGGGUGGGCUUCAGAUGCGCAGAGGAAACAGCCCAGCACAAACCUGGCACAGACUGUGUGUGUGGCAGUAGGGCAAGAGUAUUUGAUAAAUAAAAAAUAAGCUUCCCAAAGAUGAACUUCCCGAAGUUUGGGUGAUAGACCCAGAGAAGCUGAAAAAGAGCAGUCACCCAGAGGCCAGAUGGAGAGAGCCCAAUGUGGCGUGUGCAGGCCUCACUCACUCAUGCCAAGAGCCUG
ensembl:lncRNA